UGCACGCUCCGCCUCAGGCCCCGCCCCGCCCCCCCGGCGUGGGGGAGGCGGGGCCUCGGCAAGGGCGGCAGGUGGGGCUGCGGCUGUGCAAGGCCGGACCAGGCCCCGCCCAAGGCUGCUGCUGUCCUGUGCCCGCCGCCGCCCGCGCACCAGCCACCGUCGCGGACCACUUCCCGCCCUGUGCCGCCCUCUCGCGCGCUACCAAUCGGUUCCUCGGUGGUUCAGGUCACCUCCGCACAGGGAUGCCCUCCCCGAACACCCAAGCGAAGAGUGUUUUUCCUGGAUCUACCGAUGUCCAGAUCCCUCUUACCCCUCCAUCGAUGCUUCUCCAUGGCUCUGAACUCCUGCUACACGGUUGAUCCCAUGCCAUCCUCAUGGAGGCCCAUUUGACAGCAGGGUCGCCUGCCCUUACCUGCCCUUGCCUUGUGAGUGUCCGAGGGAGAGUGGCUGUUGAGGACACUGUGGAGGCCUGGAGGCCCGCAUUCCCCACAGCUGUGCUGGGAGCCCUCACUCUGCCGGCUACGCCAGCAUCCCAGCACUGCCAAUCGUCCGCUCCUGGUGCCCUCAGCCUGGCACUGAGAGUGAGGGGCCUCCUAACGCUGGUGUGGCCAUGCUGCCCCUGCUGAAACCGCCACGGCUUCCGCUGCUCCUGGCGCCAGUCCCACGACUUUGUGGGGCUCCCCAGGCUCUGAGCCCUGCCCAGCCCCACCUCAUUGUCCCGUCUCCCCUCUUUUCCUGUCCCCAGAGGGCACGAAGCUCUCUCCCAGUUCAGCGUUUUAGCACCUGCUGCCCGUCUGCUGAGCUGCCGGGACACUUUGGCACACUCUCCACCCCAGCCCCAACAUCUGCAGACGGAGGCAGGAGCCUGAACGGACCCCGGCCCAUCCUUCUCCUCCUGCCUGCCCUCUGCCUGGCACCGUGAGGGGACUGUGAGGACGCCCCCACUGCAGGUCCACACCGCAUCCAGAAACUCCCCUCUCCUGGGCCACACCCAGAGCCGAGAGGUGUGUGCCCUGGCAGAAUAGUCUGCUGUGGGGUGGAUGGACCUGGAAGAGCCCCCCACAGGCCCUGGAAGUGAGCUGGGACAUCUGAGCAGAGAACAGGUGACCCUGGGUACCCUGGUCCCCCCACCAGCGUUCUGACAUACUCCAUGAUAGAAAAAGCCAGCCUUGAACAUCUACCAAGCUCAGGGAGCACAGCUUCAGGGAAGCACCACACACAUGCGCUCUCUCUUGAAUUUCCCUUUUCCUGCCCCAUUCACAGCAUCCCUCUGGACUCACUGUUGGGGAUCAGGAGAGGGAGGAGAAUAAAAGGGCAGGAAAGUGUUGGUUGUGCCCUCUAGGAGGGUCAGAGAGCAUGGCUCUCUUGUGGCUGCUCUGUGAGUGCGUUGGAGACACCACCCGUGGGUGCUCUGCUCCUCGACCAGGGUGAUAGUGAUGCCAGAGUUCUUGUUCGUGGAGUCGAAGAAUGAACUUUGCAAACACUCUUGGUGGAAGAGCAAGGCAGAGACUUUUCUUUAGAGAUAAAGUGAGAGGACAGAGCUCCUGGCUCACGAAGGGAGGGGACAAGAGAGUCCAGGGUGGUGUGUUGUCUAGGGGAUUUAUAGGCGGUUGAGACAAAGGGCUAGGGAUGCAGACCUGCCAGAAGGUCCCAAAAUGUUUAUAUUUGAAGAGACACUAAGUUUCUUAUCAGUCUUCUGGGUUAUUCUGCAAAGUUAACACAAGAAAUUUACUGCUUUGAUUUUUUCCCAGGAUAGCAGCUUCCUGGACUGGGAACAUAUCAAGACUGCCUGUCCUGCUCCCAAGGUGGACUCAGUUAUUGUCUGUUUGUUAAAGAGUAUGUUAAGAAACUUACUUUUUAACUUAUUGGGUUUUAAAAUGCAAUCUUACCUUUAAGAUGGAGUCCUUCUUGUUUUUACUAUGUUAUUUAUGACUGGGCUUGCUUGCCAUUAUUAAUGCCUAGGUUGCAGAUCAUUUGAUUUAGGGCUGAAGGAAGAAAAUCAGCAUCUGGGUAAAGUUAAAGAAAAUAAGCAGGGCCUUUUAGCAGGCUAAAGUAAAUCAUACAAUAGCCUGACUUAAUUGACACAAUGAAGACAUGGGCUAUGCUGAGUUGUUUUCUUAUCUGGGGGAUAUUCAAACAUUCCAGUCCAAGUUACUCCUGGGUUUUUAGUUUUAACUAAUCUCACUGAAGAAUGCCUAUAUUCCUAGUUUGACAUUUUUACCGUAGAGAAUUAAUGUAACUCUGACUUUGCUUAAUGUUUAAUAAGGAGUUUUGGUAGGGGUUUCUUUGCACAUUGUUACGUUGUUCUGGCUGUGAUUAACCUGCUUUGCUUUUUCCUGGAGGUCCUCACCCUACUCUGUCUAAACCCACAGUCCUUAUCUCAAUAGCCUCAAGCCAACAGCCUAGGCACAGGCGCCCAUCUGCGCAGGCGUCCUGCUGAGCGACCUCUUCUCACCCUUGCUCUGCACUCAGCUCCAGGUGCUUGGGCUACACUCGCCCAGCAGCUCUCUUGAAGGUCCCCUCAUUCCUGAGGGGGGAGUAAGGACAACUUUUUCCUUAAAGAAAAGCUCUUUUCAUUUUCAUUUCUAGUCCCACACUGCGGCCUAGUGGCAGGUGGUAGCUAAAGGUCAAGGACCAAUUUGUUGCCAUCUUUCUACAAGUCUUGCACUGCUCUCUAGUUGAGGGGCGGAGGGUGGGGCACUCUUUUUGGAGCUUUGACCAAGAUCUCUGGACUAGGAGAUUUUGAAAAAUCUUGUUACAUGAAAAAAGGUUUUGCACCUGUAGGGAUUCAAUAUGCACCUCAAUGGCAUAAUGAUUAUUUUAAGCUAAGAACAUCUAAACAAACAGCAGCUACAGAAAAAAACCUCCUUUUGCAGAUGUAAGCAGGACCUCCUGGAAAAUACAGCCGCCACACAUCCCCUCUCUGGGAGGUUUACAGCCAGAGAGGAGACUGCCAUUAGCACUGGGAUGAGUAAUUGCUUCAACAAACUUUAGCUGUUCUACCUUCCAUUUGUUCUUUCAGAGGCUCCUUUCUCCUUCACCCCUUUCCUCUUAUUAAGUGGGUUUAUAAACCUCUUUCUUUGGAUGUCUGGGGAGCCAGUUCAUCAGAAGGAUCCCUGGUAAAUAAACUUUCCCCUCUCUCCUGUUAAUCUGUGUGUUGUUAGUUAAUUCACAGGCCCCCAAGCACUGACCCUAAAUCCGUGGAGGAAAAUGCUUUCCUCCCAACAAUUCUCCUCCAGACAAGUGUGUGGAUGACGGUCUCAGACUUUCUAUCUGGUCCUGGACUGGCUCUUUCCGCUCAGCCAGUGUUACAGCAGAGCCCAGGGUUCCCUCCCUCGCACCCUAUCUCUCAUAUGUGCUGAUUGGAUUAAAAGAGAUGGGGAAAGAGAGAACAUGAGAGAUUAUCCUGCUAAAUUUGUUACUUAUAUAAGUCAUUGUACCUCCAGCUCAGCCACAAUCGCCAAAGGGCUGAUGUGUGCCCCGGAGUGACUGCACAAAAGGAAGGCUUUCCUGGUUUUAAAGCAAUAAUGGCUAGGAGAGGGCAUGAAUUAUGCUUGUUUUCAUUCCAUCUGGUCUCAUUGCAUUUGAAUGGAAUAUAAAAUGUCACCAGGUGGUGAUUACACAGUGACUGAACCCCUCCCAAAAAAGUCAACAGCGUCUGUAUUCGUCAGCUUGGGCUGCCAUUACAAAAUGCCACAGACUAGGUGGCUUCAACAGCAGGAAUCUAUCUCUCACCAUUCUGGAGGCUGGGAGUCUGAGAUCAGGGUGCCAGCUGACUUGUUCUUGGUGAACAAACCUCUUCCUAACUUGCAGACGUCAGCCUUGCUGUGUCCCCACAGGGCUGCAUGGUGGGGUUGCGGCAGGGGGAGCUCUGGUGUCUCUUCUAGAGGACAUUAAUCCUAUCAAUGGGGCACAUUCUCAUGAUCUCCUCAAAACCUCCUCACUCCCCAAAGGCCCCUUCUCCAAACACCAUCACUCUGGGGCUCAGGGCUUCCACAGAGGAAUUUGGGGUGGGAGACACACAAACAUUCCAGCCAUACCAGUUUCUCUAUAAACAAAGACUAACCAGUUAAAAAGUAUUAUAAUAAAUACAACACGAAGUGUUUGUGUUAAAAUAUGUUACUUUUGUGUUUCCACCGUCCUUUGGUGGAUCUCACCAGCAGACAUCAAACCUACCUUUCCUGUCCCCCUCCUGCUAGUGACUCAACCCACCCUCCCUGGGAAUUACAGGCUCCAACAGGAGAAUCCGGUGUAGAAAAAAAUUUUGUGUUUCAAUAGGAACUGUGUGCCAUCUGACACACUCCCUUCUGGGUCCUCAGCUCUGUUGUCUUUGAGCUAUUUUGCAACUCUUAGUAUGUCCUAAGGGACUGAUGCAUAACUGCUGCCCUGUCCAGAAGUGAUUCUGACUUCCUCCCACCGUGGAAAAAUCACUUUUGUCCCUAUUUGCAAUUCAUCUCAACAUUCCUUUAUUCCACAAAAAUGUGUGCCAUUUUGAGUUGUCCUUUGAAAUGGCUGUAACCUCAGCCUGGUUUUCUCAGAUUGUAUGAGCCAAAUACAUUCUUCCACAUGUGUUCCAUUCAUUUUUCCAUCUGUAAGAGAGUCUUGGAAAGGUAAGAUCCUAUCUUUCCCUGAAAGUUGUCUUAACACAGGGGAGCCUUUGGGAGAAGGGGCAGGGCUCAGCUUCCAGAGAACAGGGGGAGUUUCCAGGCCCUGUGGCUUCACCGUUCUGGGCCAUGGCCACCCAUCUUCCCCACAUGUGGGGCGGUUCUCAACUCCUUUCUUUCUUGCACCCCUACAUCCAACCCUGUGGCAGGCUGAAUAAUGGCCCUUGGAAGAUGUCCACGUCCUCACCUCUGAAACCUGUGAGUAAAACAGGAUCUUUGCAGAUAUGAGUAAAUUAAGGAUUUUGAGAAGGGGAGGCUAUCUCGGAUUAUUUAAUUGGGCCCAAUAUAAUCUCAAGGAAGCCAGGGGGCAGAGGUCAGGAAAGGGGCUGUGAAGGUAGGAGCAGCAGCUGAAGGUGGAGGGAAGGCCGGGAGUCAGCAGACCCAGCGGCCUCUCCGGAAAAGGUGGAAGCUGGAAAAGACAAGGGGACAGUGCCCCAAGGGAACCAGCCAGGACCACGCUCUGUAAGACUCCUCAGACUCCUGAGCUUCAGAACUUGAAGGGAAUACAUUUGUGCUGUUUUAUAUUUGGAGUAAUUUGCAGCAGCAGCAGAGGAAACUAGUGCAAACACCACCACGAAUCAUGUUGGCUGUACCUUCGGAGUGUAGCCAAGGAUCUUCCCAGCUCUGCCGCCGCUUCCUGGGCCCAGCCAGCUCCUUCCCUGCCUGGGUUGCUGGGGCCUGCUCAUGGGUCUCCCUGGCUGCCCUGGGCCUCCGGCAUCUCCUGUCCAUGGACGCUGCCAAGGAGGUCCCUGGCUUUCCACCCUGGCACGGCCCCUCCAGGUGCUGCCGUGGCUCCAGAGCAGCACGCGGGUGCCCAACCCUCACAUUUCCACUUGGUGCAGGGGCAUGCCCUGCCUCCCCGUCCACCACCAGAGACAGUGGUGACAGGUGCCCUGCAGAGGCUCGUCCAGACUUAAUUUACAGCCAGCAAUAGGGUUUCAUCGCCAGCUUGCAGACAGGCAGCCCCCAAAUCCCAAGUCAAGAGUUCACUUUCUGACAGCUCCGGGUCUCAGCUGUCACCUCAGGCCAGGGUCCGGGGACUGACUGAGUCCUAUACCAUGCCUGUGUUUGUUGUUAUCUCCAGAUACCACUGGAAAUCCACUUCGAUCCUGUCACUGCCACCAAAUCUAUUACAGAAUAAAAACCCAACUGAGGAUGUCUGGAGAACUAAUUGGCUGUAUUCACUGACCAGGAACUAGGCAGCAUCCCAUCUACAAACAGGUAACAACGCUCUCCUGCCCCUACCCUGUAUACUGUCCUGCCAGGAGCCUUUAAGAUUGCCCCUUAAUUCCUGGCCUGUAGCCGGACCAUGAAGUGUGUCCCUGUGGGUCUCUUUCCUUUGAGUCAAUUCAGCACCUGGGGGUCUUUCCUUCUGGAGACUUGGCUUCAGGCACCUACAGGAACUGACCCAGACCUUCAUUUCAAAUGUGAGUGGGCAGCCCACUGAGCACCAGACAUUUCCGCAAAAUGGACAGCAAAACUGAGAAGGACCAAAAUGAGCAACAGAAGAAAACAGAUCAUUCAGGGAACUGAAAGUUCCAAAGUGCUGAGGGCCCCUCUAGGUCCAUGGCCUCUGUAACCCCGGUGGCCAGGGGCUGCUCAUGAUUGUCCUUUCCUCACCCCCUCACCCCUCCCGCCCCAGGCAGUGGUUUGAUAUCUGUCCCUCUCUUUUCCGACCUCCAGUGUACCUCCCCAGUCCUCACCCUUAACAUUCCCUUGGUUUCCCUGAGAAUUGGAGACUCCGAGGGGGGUUCUCAUGAGCUCCCACCCAGGCCCGCCACUUACCCGAGGCUGCCGUGAGCCCUGCUCCCUGCCUGUCUCCAUGAGUUGCCGCCCUGCUCAGCGAGCCCAGCUGCCCCUGAGCUGAGGUUGCCCCCCUCUCCAUCUUAGGGACGUAGCUCACCCUCUCCCCACUGCAUGCCAGCAUGCAAAUGUGAUUUUUUACAUCUUGAAUCACAACAAACAAUACUCUGCUGCCCCCUCCAGACACUGCCUCUUCCUCCCUUUGCAGGUAACUUGAAACCCUUGUCUACACUUAUUGCCCCUGAUUCUUCAUCUCCUAUUAUCUCAACCAGGAUUUUGCCCCCACCAUUCUACAAAACAACCAUGACAAGAUCAAUGAUGACCCCUUGUAACUAAACCCAAGGGCCAGUUCUCAGGCCUCGUGGACACAGGUCACCACCUGCCUUCUGGGACACCGUCCUCGCUGCUCCCAGCCUCUGCAGUCCCCUGCCCACGGGUCAGCCCCAGCAGCCCCUCCUCCCUCUCCUCGCUGGGUGGCCCUCAGCUGCCCACCCUCCUAACACUGCAACCUCUGGCCUCAUCCCUGAAACUCCCCUCUUUGUUUAGACUCUUCAUGGGCUAAGCCCAUCUACACACAGUUUCUGCAGCCCCGACUUUACUCCUCUGAACUUGAGACGUGUGUAUUUAACUCUACUUUUGGAUGUCAGGGGACACCUGCUAGCAGUCCAACACAGCACUCCCAACCUCCAAAUGGCCCCCCGUGGCCAGGGUGAUUCUUUUAAAAAGCAAAUGCUAUCUCAUUUCUCUGCUCAAAACCAGUCAGGGGCUCCACCUGCCACCCUGAGAGAAAGCCAUUGCUCUUAGUGGCCUCCAGGACGGCAGGAUCCGCAGGCUUGUAGGUCAAGAGGGAGAGCUCAUUUUGAGCGGGCCAAUACUGAGGUUCCUGAGGAAUGUCCCCUAUGUCCCCUUGACUGUGUCCAGAACAAAAAGGAGAACCAAGAGCAUAUUCUGUUUAUAGAACAAGAACAGAUGCUUACGGAAAAAGUUGCAAGAAAGAAUUCUAGGAAACUGGAAAUAUUUGUUAAGUUGAAAAGAAUCAAUAGUUGAAUGGAAAGGUGAAAUUACAGAAUCUGUCUACCUGGGGAUGCCAAUGUAAAUAAGUUGUGUACAUAUAAUCUGCUUUUAUAUUAUUUUAAAUACAAAAUAUAAAAAUAAAUACACAUAUUUGCAACACAAUGCCCCAAACUCCCAAAAUCUUCAGUGUGCCUCUUCCCAAACUGAAGACAUUCUUCUACCCAAUCAGGAAGUCAGCACUAAGUGUUGGUGUCACACCGACGUCACAUU